GAUGAACGCUGGCGGCGUGCCUAAUACAUGCAAGUCGAGCGAACAGACGAGGAGCUUGCUCCUCUGACGUUAGCGGCGGACGGGUGAGUAACACGUGGAUAACCUACCUAUAAGACUGGGAUAACUUCGGGAAACCGGAGCUAAUACCGGAUAAUAUAUUGAACCGCAUGGUUCAAUAGUGAAAGACGGUUUUGCUGUCACUUAUAGAUGGAUCCGCGCCGCAUUAGCUAGUUGGUAAGGUAACGGCUUACCAAGGCAACGAUGCGUAGCCGACCUGAGAGGGUGAUCGGCCACACUGGAACUGAGACACGGUCCAGACUCCUACGGGAGGCAGCAGUAGGGAAUCUUCCGCAAUGGGCGAAAGCCUGACGGAGCAACGCCGCGUGAGUGAUGAAGGUCUUCGGAUCGUAAAACUCUGUUAUUAGGGAAGAAAAAAUGUGUAAGUAACUAUGCACGUCUUGACGGUAACUAAUCAGAAAGCAACGGCUAACUACGUG
rnacentral:rRNA from 1 species